CCUACGGGAGGCUGCAGUGAGGAAUAUUGGUUAAUGGCCGCAGGGCUGAACCAGCCAAGUCGCGUGAGGGAUGACGGUCCUAUGGAUUGUAAACCUCUUUUGUCAGGGAGCAAAGGGCGCCACGUGUGGCGCUUUGCGAGUACCUGAAGAAAAAGCAUCGGCUAACUCCGUGCCAGCAGCCGCGGUAAUACGGAGGAUGCGAGCGUUAUCCGGAUUUAUUGGGUUUAAGGGGUGCGCAGGCGGAAUGUCAAGUCAGCGGUAAAAUUUCGGGGCUCGACCCCGUCGUGCCGUUGAAACUGGCGUUCUUGAGUGAGCGAGAAGUAUGCGGAAUGCGUGGUGUAGCGGUGAAAUGCAUAGAUAUCACGCAGAACUCCGAUUGCGAAGGCAGCAUACCGGCGCUCAACUGACGCUCAUGCACGAAAGCGUGGGUAUCGAACAGGAUUAGAUACCCUUGUAGUC
rnacentral:rRNA from 1 species